rnacentral:lncRNA from 1 species
UGUUACAGUUCCUUGUGUUCCAAUUUUCAACACAGCUGGACACUUUUUGUUGGAAAAAAAAAAAGUGAAUUCAUUUUAAACAGGACUGUAAAACGGUGAUAAAGAGAAUGACUGGAGAAACCAACCAUGAUGGGAAACUAAAUGUCCCAGGGAAACACUUGAAAGCCUUUUUAGUGCGAGAAAUAUGUGCUCCAGAAUUGAAUCUAAGAUAACAGAAACCGCUAUGAUGUGGAUUAAGGAAAUAGAAGCCUCAGAUCACUGCGAGUCAAAUUCCAAUGGAUCUGACUCCCUUGGAGCAGGUAACAGAACAGCAUUCCUCCUGUUUGCCUGGCGAUUCAGAUAGAUUGCAAGCUGCAUGAGGUUAAGAACCCUUUCUACUCCUGUUUGCUACUCUAGCCUCAGCCCAGCGUCUCUUAACAGUCACAGCACAACCAGGGAACCCAGGAAUGAACGUUCCUAAAAAAGGUUGCACUCCGAGAAGGUCAUCCAAUGUCCUACAAUCAGACAAAUGGAAAGACAACUGAUAAGGAGAUUCAUCCUACUUCCACUGCCAUUUUGCAAUUUUCCCAGGAUUGAAACUGUCUAAUAUAUAUAUACAUAGUAAGAAGACAGGAGAAUAUAAAAUACAGGAAUUGAAGGAAACCAGAAUACAGCACCUGGAAAUGGUACACUGGCUUAAGAACUAUUUUGAGCCAAAGGCAGUUAAAAAGCAACAAACCUACAAAGCCCCCAUAUCACCUUCUUUCUGCCUAAAAAUGGGAGAUGCAUUUCCCCUUAUAAUGUUCUCCUCCCCUCUUCUGUGUCA